AUACCUUUCUCGGCCUCUUGGCUAAGAUCAAGUGUAGUAUCUGUUCUUGUCAGUUUAAUAUCUGAUAUGUGGAUCUUCGAAUCCACACUAUGAUAUUAAUUUAAUUUUUUUUUUGGGGGAAGGCCUUUAAAAUGUAGCUUGCUGCAUGGGUCCUCAUGUGUCGUCCAAGUGUUGCACUAUUGUUUGGAAUAGGCACACCCCAA
rnacentral:snRNA from 1 species